AGGUCCUAAUUAAUUUUGAUUUGGUACUUUUGAGACUCAUUCCCCUCAUAUGGAAAACAAACAAUAUCUUCCUUUUUCUCCUUAAAAUUUUCAAACCUUUUCUAAUUUCCCACUAUUUAAACCAACCUUAUUUCCUCCUCUUUCUCCUAUCAAACCAUUCACUCCUACAUCCCCGCCAUUUCUCUCUCUUUCCAAGAAAACUAAAACCAUGGGACAAGAAAUCCUAACCAAACAGACCUUAAGCUCUCCGGCUGAUAACAUGAUCAAAGUCACCAAUAUCAAGAACCAGGAGACAGAAAAUACCGCCGGAAAUUUCACGUCGUCGGAAAAUUCCGGCGAAAAUUCACCGGAAAACGAGAAAGCAGGAGUUGUUUAUCCGCACGAGAAUCUUCCGAGGCCUGAACCACCGUCGGGAGUAAACGGCGACGUUUUGAAAUUUCCGUCGGAAAAUAGUUUUUCCGUCGAUGUUCCGACCAUUGGAAAAUAUCUGUUGGAGACUAAGAAUAGUCUUUCGGCUGCCAUUUCGAGGAGGUUGUCGUUAGACGACGUCGUUAAAGGAGGUUGUGGUGUGACUGAAUUUUACGUGUCUGGUCUUCAAGUUGUUGUGCGAGCGAAAGGAGGAGAGAAUGAUGGUUUUGUGUCUGAGGAGAGUUCCGAGUUGACUCAGCUUAAAGGACGAGUCACUUUGUUUUCGAGAUCCAAUUGCAGGGAUAGCGGCGCAGCGAGAAAAAUCCUGAGAGAAAAGGGGUUAAAAUACGCCGAAAUAAACCUCGACGUAUAUCCGACCCGAGAAAAAGAGCUAGUAGACCGGACCGGCGGUUCAACGGUACCACAAAUAUUCUUUAACGAGAAGUUAAUAGGCGGUUUAGUGGCGUUAAAUUCAUUAAGAAAUAGCGGUUUGUUGAACCGGACAGCAAAAGAACUGCUUUGUAGCAAAUGCCCAGAUGAUGCUCCUGGACCGCCGGUUUAUGGGUUUGAUGAACCGGAGGAAGAACGGUUGGAUGAGAUGGAUGAGAUUGUUAAAGUUUUGCGGCUAAGAUUACCUAUCCUAGACCGUUUGAUUCGGAUGAGAAUUGUCAAGAACUGUUUUACUGGUACUGAGUUGGUGGAUACCAUCGUACACCACUUUGGCAAAUCCCGUGUUGAGGCAAUAGGGACAGCAAAAGAGAUUGUUAGGAAGCACUUCAUCCACCAUGUAUUCAGAGGGAACUAUUUUGAGGAUGGAAAUGAAGCCUAUAGGUUCCUCGAGCAUGAGCCAUUCAUUCCAAAAUGCCUAAAUUUUCGAGGAUCCAUAGAUGACAGAGAGCCAGAAUCGGCAUUAAGGAUUGGCCAUAGACUGAUGAAGAUCAUGUCUGCCAUACUUGAAUCUUAUUCAUCUGAAAACCGGGAUCAUCUGAAUUACUUGGCUAUCAGCAACAGCGAAGAAUUUCGAAGAUAUGUGAAUAUGGUUCAAAAUCUCCAGAGAGUGGAUCUUUUUGCUCUGUUACCUGAUGAGAAGCUGGCUUUCUUCCUAAAUCUUUACAAUGCAAUGGUCAUACAUGCUGUAAUAAUGAGAGGAUAUCCAAAAGGGAUGAUCGAGAGGAAGUCAUUUGUUUCCGACAUUCAGUAUGUAGUUGGUGGAAGUUCAUAUUCUCUUAAUGCAAUAAGGAAUGGUAUACUCAGAAGCAAUCAGAGGGCUCCUUAUGCUUUGGUUAAGCCUUUCAGUGCUGGAGAUAAUCGCCUUCAGUUAGCUUUACCGAUGGUGAAUCCGUUGAUUCACUUUGGACUCUGUGAUGGUAGUAAGUCUAGUCCACCAGUUAGAUUCUUCUCACCUCAAAGUGUGCAAGCGGAGCUCAGAGCUGCCGCGAGAGAGUUCUUCAGGCGCAAUGUAAUACAAGUGGAUUUAUCCAAAAGAACAGCCUGUCUCUCUUGCAUCAUGAAAUGGUACAGGGUAGAUUUUGGGAAAGAAAAGGAAAUUUUUAAUUGGAUUCUUAGUUAUUUGGAUGCAGAGAAAGCUGGUCUCUUGACUCAUCUUUUGGAUGAUGGAGGUGUUAUCAAUAUUGUAUACCAAAAUUAUGACUGGUCUAUAAAUUCAUAAACCCAAUAUUCCUCAAGUUAUCAAGCCCGCAGUAUAACAUAUAUAUCCUCCAUUUCGAAAUACUUGUUAUUAAGUAAUCGACUCGUAACAUAACAACUAAAUCUGAAAUAGAGGUAGUACUAAAAUAUGUGGAUUGUGGAUUAGAGUAGAAGUUUUGUAUGUAGAAUGGUACAUUUUGAAGAUUGGCAAUAAUCUUAUGCUCUAAGAGAAAAGUUUUUUUUACUAGAUUUGGUUCUUCAUACUCGAGGCAAUGCAUCUAUUAAGGAUAUCACCACACUUUUCCUUUUUGUUUGUAAUAGAAAUUAGAAAUAGAUUUGUAAUCCUAUAUUUAAUAUUUUUUGUUGUUGAAAAUCCUAUAUUCUAUAUAGAAGUGAAUCUUAUGUA